rnacentral:rRNA from 1 species
ACGAGAGAGAGGGAGCUUGCUUCCUCAAUCGAGUGGCGAACGGGUGAGUAACGCGUGAGGAACCUGCCUCAAAGAGGGGGACAACAGUUGGAAACGACUGCUAAUACCGCAUAAGCCCACAGGUCGGCAUCGACCAGAGGGAAAAGGAGCAAUCCGCUUUGAGAUGGCCUCGCGUCCGAUUAGCUAGUUGGUGAGGUAACGGCCCACCAAGGCAACGAUCGGUAGCCGGACUGAGAGGUUGAACGGCCACAUUGGGACUGAGACACGGCCCAGACUCCUACGGGAGGCAGCAGUGGGGAAUAUUGCACAAUGGGGGAAACCCUGAUGCAGCGACGCCGCGUGGAGGAAGAAGGCCUUCGGAUUGUAAACUCCUGUUGUUGAGGAAGAUAAUGACGGUACUCAACAAGGAAGUGACGGCUAACUACGUGCCAGCAGCCGCGGUAAAACGUAGGUCACAAGCGUUGUCCGGAAUUACUGGGUGUAAAGGGAGCGCAGGCGGGAAGACAAGUUGGAAGUGAAAUCUAUGGGCUCAACCCAUAAACUGCUUU